rnacentral:rRNA from 1 species
UACGGAGGGUGCAAGCGUUAUCCGGAUUCACUGGGUUUAAAGGGUGCGUAGGCGCUUGAUAAGUCAUUGGUGAAAGCUCGCGGCUCAACCGCGAAACUGCCAAUGAAACUGCCAAGCUUGAAUCUGGUUGAAGUGGGCGGAAUACAACAUGUAGCGGUGAAAUGCUUAGAUAUGUUGUAGAACACCGAUUGCGAAGGCAGCUCACUAAGCCAACAUUGACGCUGAGGCACGAAAGCGAUGGGAUAGCGUACGGGAAGCGA